CGUGUCCUCCGUUUCUCCAGAGCGAUGACUCACCAUAACCCCCCAGCCAUUCUCCUGGGCCAGCUUGCACCUGCAGUACACACCAGCACUGACCUUCUGCCCCGAGGCAUAGGCAUGGUUUUAUGUAGCCCAGGCUGGCUUCAAGUUCAUAGCAACCCUCAUGCCUAAACCUCCCAAGUAUUGGGGAUUCCAGCCAAUAACGCUUCAAUGUUCAAAUAAAUGCAAGUAAUCAGAUUCCA